UUCAUAAUGUAAGUCAUUCUAGCAUUGCCCAUAUUCAUAUAAAUAUUAAUGAAUCUAGAUAUAGACAUAUGUUUGGAUUCAUUAACAUAUGUCUAUGUCUAGAUUCAUUAACAUCUAUAUGCAUGUGGUCAAUGCUAGAAUGUCUUGCAUUAUGAAACGG
rnacentral:misc_RNA from 1 species